rnacentral:rRNA from 1 species
AGCGGCGGACGGGUGAGUAACACGUGGGUAACCUGCCCAAGAGACUGGGAUAACACCUGGAAACAGAUGCUAAUACCGGAUAACAACACUAGACGCAUGUCUAGAGUUUGAAAGAUGGUUCUGCUAUCACUCUUGGAUGGACCUGCGGUGCAUUAGCUAGUUGGUAAGGUAACGGCUUACUAAGGCAAUGAUGCAUAGCCGAGUUGAGAGACUGAUCGGCCACAUUGGGACUGAGACACGGCCCAAACUCCUACGGGAGGCAGCAGUAGGGAAUCUUCCACAAUGGACGAAAGUCUGAUGGAGCAACGCCGCGUGAGUGAAGAAGGGUUUCGGCUCGUAAAGCUCUGUUGGUAGUGAAGAAAGAUAGAGGUAGUAACUGGCCUUUAUUUGACGGUAAUUACUUAGAAAGUCACGGCUAACUACGUGCCAGCAGCCGCGGUAAUACGUAGGUGGCAAGCGUUGUCCGGAUUUAUUGGGCGUAAAGCGAGUGCAGGCGGUUCAAUAAGUCUGAUGUGAAAGCCUUCGGCUCAACCGGAGAAUUGCAUCAGAAACUGUUGAACUUGAGUGCAGAAGAGGAGAGUGGAACUCCAUGUGUAGCGGUGGAAUGCGUAGAUAUAUGGAAGAACACCAGUGGCGAAAGCGGCUCUCUGGUCUGCAACUGACGCUGAGGCUCGAAAGCAUGGGUAGCGAACAGGAUUAGAUACCCUGGGUAGUCCAUGCCGUAAACGAUGAGUGCUAAGUGU